AGUGAACGCUGGCGGUAGGCCUAACACAUGCAAGUCGAACGGCAGCACAGUAAGAGCUUGCUCUUACGGGUGGCGAGUGGCGGACGGGUGAGGAAUACAUCGGAAUCUACUUUUUCGUGGGGGAUAACGUAGGGAAACUUACGCUAAUACCGCAUACGACCUACGGGUGAAAGCAGGGGAUCUUCUGACCUUGCGCGAUUGAAUGAGCCGAUGUCGGAGUAGCUAGUUGGCGGGGUAAAGGCCCACCAAGGCGACGAUCCGUAGCUGGUCUGAGAGGAUGAUCAGCCACACUGGAACUGGGACACGGUCCAGACUCCUACGGGAGGCAGCAGUGGGGAAUAUUGGACAAUGGGCGCAAGCCUGAUCCAGCCAUACCGCGUGGGUGAAGAAGGCCUUCGGGUUGUAAAGCCCUUUUGUUGGGAAAGAAAAGCAGCAGGUUAAUACCCCGCUGUUCUGACGGUACCCAAAGAAUAAGCACCGGCUAACUUCGUG
rnacentral:rRNA from 1 species